rnacentral:rRNA from 1 species
GAUGAACGCUGGCGGCGUGCCUAAUACAUGCAAGUCGAGCGAACGGACGAGAAGCUUGCUUCUCUGAUGUUAGCGGCGGACGGGUGAGUAACACGUGGAUAACCUACCUAUAAGACUGGGAUAACUUCGGGAAACCGGAGCUAAUACCGGAUAAUAUUUUGAACCGCAUGGUUCAAAAGUGAAAGACGGUCUUGCUGUCACUUAUAGAUGGAUCCGCGCUGCAUUAGCUAGUUGGUAAGGUAACGGCUUACCAAGGCAACGAUGCAUAGCCGACCUGAGAGGGUGAUCGGCCACACUGGAACUGAGACACGGUCCAGACUCCUACGGGAGGCAGCAGUAGGGAAUCUUCCGCAAUGGGCGAAAGCCUGACGGAGCAACGCCGCGUGAGUGAUGAAGGUCUUCGGAUCGUAAAACUCUGUUAUUAGGGAAGAACAUAUGUGUAAGUAACUGUGCACAUCUUGACGGUACCUAAUCAGAAAGCCACGGCUAACUACGUGCCAGCAGCCGCGGUAAUACGUAGGUGGCAAGCGUUAUCCGGAAUUAUUGGGCGUAAAGCGCGCGUAGGCGGUUUUUUAAGUCUGAUGUGAAAGCCCACGGCUCAACCGUGGAGGGUCAUUGGAAACUGGAAAACUUGAGUGCAAAAGAGGAAAGUGGAAUUCCAUGUGUAGCGGUGAAAUGCGCAGAGAUAUGGAGGAACACCAGUGGCGAAGGCGACUUUCUGGUCUGUAACUGACGCUGAUGUGCGAAAGCGUGGGGAUCAAACAGGAUUAGAUACCCUGGUAGUCCACGCCGUAAACGAUGAGUGCUAAGUGUUAGGGGGUUUCCGCCCCUUAGUGCUGCAGCUAACGCAUUAAGCACUCCGCCUGGGGAGUACGACCGCAUGGUUGAAACUCAAAGGAAUUGACGGGGACCCGCACAAGCGGUGGAGCAUGUGGUUUAAUUCGAAGCAACGCGAAGAACCUUACCAAAUCUUGACAUCCUUUGACAACUCUAGAGAUAGAGCCUUCCCCUUCGGGGGACAAAGUGACAGGUGGUGCAUGGUUGUCGUCAGCUCGUGUCGUGAGAUGUUGGGUUAAGUCCCGCAACGAGCGCAACCCUUAAGCUUAGUUGCCAUCAUUAAGUUGGGCACUCUAAGUUGACUGCCGGUGACAAACCGGAGGAAGGUGGGGAUGACGUCAAAUCAUCAUGCCCCUUAUGAUUUGGGCUACACACGUGCUACAAUGGACAAUACAAAGGGCAGCGAAACCGCGAGGUCAAGCAAAUCCCAUAAAGUUGUUCUCAGUUCGGAUUGUAGUCUGCAACUCGACUACAUGAAGCUGGAAUCGCUAGUAAUCGUAGAUCAGCAUGCUACGGUGAAUACGUUCCCGGGUCU